rnacentral:piRNA from 1 species
ACAUCUUGGGCCAUGCAUUCUAUCAGC